GCGCCGGUGGUUUAGUGGUAAAAUCCAUCGUUGCCAUCACAACUCGAGUCUCCUGAACUUAGUAUGUAACUUCGAUGGGCCCCGCGUUCGAUUCGCGGCUGGCGCA